GGACUACUGGGGUAUCUAAUCCUGUUUGCUCCCCACGCUUUCGCGUCUCAGCGUCAGUCACCGUCCAGAGGGCCGCCUUCGCCACCGGUGUUCCUCCUGAUAUCUACGCAUUUCACCGCUACACCAGGAAUUCCACCCUCCUCUCCGGGACUCCAGCUCGCCAGUUUCCAAUGCACUUCCGGGGGUGAGCCCCGGGCUUUCACAUCAGACCCAACGAGCCGCCUACACGCGCUUUACGCCCAGUGAUUCCGAACAACGCUCGCACCCUCCGUAUUACCGCGGCUGCUGGCAC
rnacentral:rRNA from 1 species